rnacentral:rRNA from 1 species
UGCGCAGGUGGGCUUGUAAGUCAGUGGUGAAAUACUGCCGCUUAACGGUAGAACUGCCAUUGAUACUGCAAGUCUUGAAUAUGGUUGAGGUAGGCGGAAUGUGUCGUGUAGCGGUGAAAUGCAUAGAUAUGACACAGAACGCCGAUUGCGAAGGCAGCUUACUAAGCCAUUAUUGACGCUGAGGCACGAAAGCGUGGGGAGCGAACCGGAUUAGAUACCCUGGUAGUCC